rnacentral:tRNA from 1 species
GGGCGCGUAGCUCAGUCGGAUAGAGCGUUGGCCUCCGGAGCCAGAGGUCGUGGGUUCGAAUCCCGCCGCGCCCUCUA